rnacentral:rRNA from 1 species
CCUACGGGUGGCAGCAGUGGGGGAUAUUGCACAAUGGGGGGAACCCUGAUGCAGCGACGCCGCGUGGGUGAAGAAGCGCCUCGGCGCGUAAAGCUCUGUCAGCCGGGAAGAAAAUGACGGUACCUGAAGAAGAAGCCCCGGCUAACUACGUGCCAGCAGCCGCGGUAAUACGUAGGGGGCAAGCGUUAUCCGGAUUUACUGGGUGUAAAGGGGGCGUAGACGGCGCUGCAAGCCAGGUGUGAAAUGUCGGGGCCCAACCCCGGGACUGCACUGGGAACUGGGUGGCUGGAGUGCAGGAGGGGCAGGCGGAAUUCCUGGUGGAGCGGUGAAAUGCGUAGAGAUCAGGAGGAACACCGGUGGCGAAGGCGGCCUGCUGGACUGCAACUGACGUUGAGGCCCGAAAGCGUGGGGAGCAAACAGGAUUAGAUACCCUAGUAGUC